GUUAGUGGCGAAAGGAUGAGUAACGGAUAGGUAACGUACCCGAUGCACAGGUAUAGCGUCGAGAGCUUGCUCUCUACCGAAAGGGGCGGUAAUACCUGAUAACAUUGCCUGCUGCAGGGCUGGACAAUCAAAGAUCUAUCGGCAUCAGAGCGGUCUAUACCCUAUCAGUGAGUUGGAGAUGUAACGGCUCACCAAGACAACGACGGGUAGCUGGACUGAGAGGUAGGUCCGNCAUAUCGGGACUGAUACAGUGCCCGGACCUCCACGGAGGGCUGCAGUAGCGAAUCUUGGGCAAUGAUCGAAAGAUUGACCCAGCGACGCCGUGUGCAGGAAGAAGCCCCUCGGGGUGUAAACUGCUGUCAAGAGCAAGUAAGCGCACGCAGAACUACUCUAGAGGAAGUCACGGCUAACUUCGUGCCAGCAGCCGCGGUAAUACGAAGGUGGCGAGCGUUGUGCGGAAUCACUGGGCUUAAAGCGUACGCAGGCGGUUUUCUAAGCGUUCUCUGAAAUCCCCCGGCUCAACCGGGGAAUUGGGGGGCGAACUGGAAAACUUGAGGCAUACAGGGGCGGGUGGAACUCUUCGUGGAGCGGUGGAAUGCGUACAUCUGAAGAGGAACGCCAGAUGUGAAAACGGCCCGCUGGGUAUGACCUGACGCUGAGGUACGAAAGCAUGGGUAGCGAACGGGAUUAGAUACCCCGGUAGUCCAUGCCGUAAACGAUGUGCACUGGUUCGCAGUAAUUCUGACAUUAUUGCGGGCGUAGCAUAAGUGUUAAGAUGCACCGCCUGGGGAGUACGGUCGCAAUGCUAACAGACUCAGAGGAAUUUGACGGGGAGCUCACACAAUCGGUGGAGCAUGUGGAUUAAUUCGAAGCAACGCGCAGAACCUUACCUGGGUUUGACAUGUUUGGAUGC
rnacentral:rRNA from 1 species